rnacentral:rRNA from 1 species
AGGACGAACGCUGGCGGCGUGCUUAACACAUGCAAGUCGAGCGGAAAGGCCCUUCGGGGUACUCGAGCGGCGAACGGGUGAGUAACACGUGAGUAAUCUGCCUUUAGCUCUGGGAUAGCUCCGGGAAACCGGGAUUAAUACCGGAUAUGACCACUUUAGACAUCUGUUGCGGUGGAAAGUUUUUCGGCUAGAGAUGAGCUCGCGGCCUAUCAGCUUGUUGGUGGGUAACGGCCUACCAAGGCGACGACGGGUA